rnacentral:rRNA from 1 species
GUAGGUGGCAAGCGUUGUCGGGAGUUAUUGGGCGUAAAGCGCGCGCAGGCGGUUCUUUAAGUCUGAUGUGAAAGCCCACGGGCUCAACCGUGGAGGGUCAUUGGAAACUGGAGAACUUGAGUACAGAAGAGGAAAGCGGAAUUCCACGUGUAGCGGUGAAAUGCGUAGAGAUGUGGAGGAACACCAGUGGCGAAGGCGGCUUUCUGGUCUGUAACUGACGCUGAGGCGCGAAAGCGUGGGGAGCAAACAGGAUUAGAUACCCUGGUAGUCCACGCCGUAAACGAUGAGUGCUAAGUGUUAGGGGGUUUCCGCCCCUUAGUGCUGCAGCUAACGCAUUAAGCACUCCGCCUGGGGAGUACGACCGCAAAGGUUG